rnacentral:rRNA from 1 species
UACGUAGGGGGCAAGCGUUGUCCGGAUUUAUUGGGAGUAAAGCGCGUGUAGGCGGCCAGAUAGGUCCGCUGUGAAAACCCGAGGCUCAACCUCGGGACGUCGGCGGAAACCAUUUGGCUAGAGUCCGGAAGAGGAGAGUGGAAUUCCCGGUGUAGCGGUGAAAUGCGCAGAUAUCAGGAAGAACACCCGUGGCGAAGGCGGCUCUCUGGGACGGUACUGACGCUGAGACGCGAAAGCGUGGGGAGCGAACAGG